rnacentral:lncRNA from 1 species
GUUGCCCGGGCGGGUACUGGGCACUGUGCAUGCAUACAUGUGCGCACAAUAGCGGCAGGACGUGCGCACAGCGCGCAUGACCCAUCCGUGCACACGACGCAAGGUCUGGACUUACGCGCGUCACCUCACAAGAAAGAGCACCACACAUUGUGCGCGUGCUGUCUAUGCAACAAGCUUGCGCAGAGAGGCCCUAUGAACUUGGGGCUUGCACGCAGAACGCCUGUGCGUGCAGCACCCAGAGCGCUAAGGUCCUCGAGCACCGGUCGGGGCACUACCACCUUGGGUAGUGCGCCAUCGCUGCCUCAGGCGGCGCGCCCCCGCUGUUGGU